GCAGCGCGGAGCUCUGGCUGGUUGAAGGAGCUCGCUAGCCCAGCGGUGAGAGCAGUCCUAGGUGCCCGUGUGUUUCUACACGUCACCUCGGCAGAUCAUCACCUCACAUGGGCCAGCCAGGCAUCUCUGAGUCAGAGUCUCCUUCCCAGCAGCAAGAUGCCACCAAGCCGCCCUUGCCCUGGGCAUUUAUCAUUUGAGGACCGCAGCCUCCUCCUGUGAGGUGAGAGUCUCUCCCCAAAGUGCUGGGUGACAGAGUGCAUUUGAUAUAGGGUAGCAAGUUACCCCAAAAUGGUAUCCAAAUAAGCAAAAAUGAUCCAAACAAGAGAACUAUU